rnacentral:lncRNA from 1 species
UUAGAGGACGGUAGUGGCUAUUUUUUUUUCCUAGAUCUAGAUCUGAAAAUUGAGACUGAGACUUUGAGUCUUGAGAGUAGAGAAUCUAAGAGAGUUCGAUAGUUCGAUUGUGAAGAAGACGACGACGACACGACGAUGACGACACGACGACGACUGUGAAGCACUGAAGCUUCUUAUCUUUGUCCCGAAUCCACGCCGAGUCGUCGACUGUGAAUUGUGAAGCUUCUUCUUCUUCUCUUCAAUAGUUAGAUACUUCGAUCGAUCGAUCGACCUCGACGAUUGAGAAGGUUUGAUUUUUUCCUUUAUAUGAUUUUUCAUUUUUUCUGGUCAUUAUAUAAUAUAUCUCAGUGACUCAGUGUAAUUUUUUUCUUUAUAUUUUUUCAUGUUCGAGUUAGGUACGUAUAUAGAUUACAUAUAUGGAAAAUCUGAACACUGAACCAACUUCAAUUAUUUGACUCAGUGUAAUUUUUUCCUUUAUAGAUUUAUGUAGCUUAAAUCUAAAAAUUUUGUCCUACUUUUCGCUUGCAGAAAAUGAGAAACCCAAAAAUCAAGAUUGUGAAAUUCUACCAGAUAAGAAUUUAGUAUUUAUAUACUACAUAUGUUUUGUUCCCAAUUUAGUAUUUAUAUACUACAUAUGUUUUAUAUACUACAUAUGUUUUGAGACAGAGAAGAAGAACGAACAUACACUGGGUUUCAAUUGAUUUGUUCCCAUUUCUUGACUCGUCUUAGUGGUCGAGAGAUUUGAAAUUGAUGAACAUUUUCACUCUAUUCUGAUUCUAAUUAUGAUGAGGAACAUCUUGUACACUGCACAUAAUUUAGUUGUGUUACUAAAUUAUAUAAACUAUUUAAAUGACAUUGUAUUACCAUGUUUAUCCUGUUUUGGCUGACAGUUAUAAGAGGCAUCUAUUAUCUUACAACAUCAAUUUAGUUGUGCUCUAAUUUGCUUCUUAUUACAGCCCUAGUGGCUAGUAGACAUGCUUAGUUGUGGCUGACAGUUAUAAAGUCUACCCUGCUUGGGCCGAGAGGGUGUUCCCUUUGAACAAAUCCUUUGGAUUUUGAAAAUAACAUCUCAUUGUAACCUCUUUUGCAAGUUGCUUUAUUUAUUAGUAGUAUUAUUUCUUUUGGUACUGGAUGGUUGUGCUACCUUUCGUAGCUUUGUCUUGGCUUACCAAUUGGUGCAACUCUUUCUAUUUCUGAAAAGUUGCUAAUUUUGUCAAGCUAUAGAAAGGGCUUUAAGAUAAUAGUUAAGAACUUGAACUUGGUUUGUGUCUCAGACCUUUAAAAAUGGUUUGAGAUUGGCUAAUAUUUAAAUAUAUGAAUCAAACAUUACUGACUCUUAUUGCAAUAAUUUUGUGUCAGAAAUUACAAUUACGAAAUAAACUCAUACAUGAAUCUUUUUGUACAGGAUGGCAAGCUAUUCUUUCACUAGCAGAUGGGAUUGAUGAAUCUUAUUUCUGUUGCUGCCUUGAUGAGUUGAUGGUGACAUACUGACGUGUCAAAUGAAAUCAAUAUUCUUGCUGAGUUGCUGUUUUAAUAUUUAAAUGUGUACUUUAUCAUUUAUCAAUCAUUGUAUUUGUAUGUAAAUUGUAAUAUGUUACAACAACUGAAGUUACUGAACAACAAUUGUAAUAUGUUACUGAACAAUUGUAAUAUGUGUAUUUUAUUGAAGUUACUCAACAACAGGAUUUUAAAAAAAAAGAAAUGGAAAAGCCCGCAGGGCGGGAUAGCCCGGCCCAACUCAGGCCACGGGCCGCUUAAUUUCAGUCCACCAAAAUCUGGGCCUUUUUGGCCUAGCCCGUCAUUGUCCCAGCUCGCACUCGGCCCGGCCCGUUUGCCAGGCCUAACAUAGAGUUAAAGGAGUUUUGAAUGGUGACAUUACUACCUUUUUUUUUUUUU